rnacentral:rRNA from 1 species
CAAUACCGCGUGUGUGAAGAAGGCCUGAGGGUUGUAAAGCACUUUCAAUAGGGAGGAAUACCUGUCGGUCAAUACCCGGCAGCUUGACAUUACCUAUACAAGAAGCACCGGCUAACUCCGUGCCAGCAGCCGCGGUAAUACGGAGGGUGCAAGCGUUAAUCGGAAUUACUGGGCGUAAAGCGUGCGUAGGCGGUUGAUUAAGUCAGAUGUGAAAGCCCCGGGCUUAACCUGGGAACUGCAUUUGAUACUGGUUAACUAGAGUUUAGUAGAGGAGAGUGGAAUUUCAGGUGUAGCGGUGAAAUGCGUAGAUAUCUGAAGGAACACCAGUGGCGAAGGCGACUCUCUGGACUAAAACUGACGCUGAGGUACGAAAGCGUGGGUAGCAAACAGGAUUAGAUACCCUGGUAGUCCACGCCGUAAACGAUGUCAACUAGCCGUUGGGUCUUUUAACAGACUUAGUGGCGCAGCUAACGCAUUAAGUUGACCGCCUGGGGAGUACGGCCGCAAGGUUA